UACGUAGGGGGCGAGCGUUGUCCGGAUUUAUUGGGCGUAAAGAGCUCGUAGGCGGUUUGGUAAGUUGGAUGUGAAAUCUCCAGGCUCAACUUGGAGGGGUCAUUCGAUACUGCCAUGACUAGAGUUCGGUAGGGGAGUGUGGAAUUCCUGGUGGAGCGGUGAAAUGCGCAGAUAUCAGGAGGAACACCGGUGGCGAAGGCGGCUCGCUGGGCCAGUUCUGACACUCAUCCGCGAAAGCGUGGGGAGCAAACAGG
rnacentral:rRNA from 1 species